GAGUUUGAUCGUGGCUCAGAACGAACGCUGGCGGCAUGCCUAACACAUGCAAGUCGAACGGGAUCCGGACUUCGGUCCGGUGAGAGUGGCGGACGGGUGAGUAACGCGUGGGAACCUGCCCAAUGGUCUGGGAUAACCGCGGGAAACUGCGGCUAAUACCGGAUAAGCCCGAGAGGGGAAAGAUUUAUCGCCGAUGGAGGGGCCCGCGUCCGAUUAGGUAGUUGGUGAGGUAACGGCUCACCAAGCCGACGAUCGGUAGCUGGUCUGAGAGGAUGAUCAGCCACACUGGGACUGAGAUACGGCCCAGACUCCUACGGGAGGCAGCAGUGGGGAAUAUUGGACAAUGGGGGCAACCCUGAUCCAGCAAUGCCGCGUGAGUGAUGAAGGCCUUAGGGUUGUAAAGCUCUUUUGGCGGGGACGAUGAUGACGGUACCCGCAGAAUAAGCCCCGGCUAACUUCGUGCCAGCAGCCGCGGUAAC
rnacentral:rRNA from 1 species